AGUGAACGCUGGCGGUAGGCCUAACACAUGCAAGUCGAACGGCAGCACAGUAAGAGCUUGCUCUUACGGGUGGCGAGUGGCGGAUGGGUGAGGAAUACAUCGGAAUCUACUUUUUCGUGGGGGAUAACGUAGGGAAACUUACGCUAAUACCGCAUACGACCUACGGGUGAAAGCAGGGGAUCUUCGGACCUUGCGCGAUUGAAUGAGCCGAUGUCGGAUUAGCUAGUUGGCGGGGUAAAGGCCCACCAAGGCGACGAUCCGUAGCUGGUCUGAGAGGAUGAUCAGCCACACUGGAACUGAGACACGGUCCAGACUCCUACGGGAGGCAGCAGUGGGGAAUAUUGGACAAUGGGCGCAAGCCUGAUCCAGCCAUACUGCGUGGGUGAAGAAGGCCUUCGGGUUGUAAAGCCCUUUUGUUGGGAAAGAAAAGCAGCAGGUUAAUACCCCGCUGUUCUGACGGUACCCAAAGAAUAAGCACCGGCUAACUUCGUG
rnacentral:rRNA from 1 species